UGCGGUACUGUUUCAAAAGCUCUGCGGUACGUGUUAAAAGCUCUGCGGUACAGUUUACACUCCGCGGUACAGUUUAAAAGCUCAGCGGUACAGUUUAAUAGCUCCGCGGUACAGUUAAAAAGCUUUGCGAUACAGUUAAAAAGCUCCGCGGUACAGUUAAAAAGGUCCGCGGUACAGGUUAAAAGCUCCGAGGUACAGUUUAAAAGCUCCGCGGUACAGUUAAAAAGCUUUGCGAUACAGUUAAAAAGCUCCGCGGUACAGUUAAAAAGGUCCGCGGUACAGUUUAAAAGCUCCGCGGUACAGUUUUAACUCCGCAGUACAGUUAAAACGCUCCGCAGUACAGUUUAAAAGCUCUGCGGUAUAGUAAAAUGCUCCGUGGUAGUUAAAAAGCACUGUGGUACAGUUAAAAAGCUCCACGGUACAGUUAUAAAGCUUUACGGUACAGUUAUAAAGCUUUGCGGUACAGUUUAAAAGCUCCGCGGUACAGUUUUAAAGCUCCGCGGUACAGUUUUAAAGCUCCGCGGUACAGUUUUAAAGCUCCGCAGAACAGUUAAAAUGCUCAUCGGUACAGUUUAAAAGCUCCGCGGUACAGUUUAAAAGCUCCACUGUACAGUUUAAGCUCUGCGGUACAGUUUCAAAAGCUCUGCGUUAAAGUUUAAACUCCGCGGUACAGUUAUAUAGCUCUGCGGUACAGUUUAAAAGCUCAGCGGUAAAGUUUAAACUCCGUAGAACAGUUAAAAUGCUCAGCGGUACAGUUUAAAAGCUCUGUGGUACAGUUUAAGCUCUGCGGUACAGUUUCAAAAGCUCUGCGGUACAUUUUAAACUCCGCGGUACAGUUAUAAAGCUCUGCGGUACAGUUUAAAAGCUCCGUGGUAAAGUUUAAACUCCGUAGAACAGUUAAAAUGCUCAGCGGUACAGUUUAAAAGCUCUGUGGUACAGUUUAAGGUCUGCGGUACAGUUUCAAAAGCUCUGCGGUACAUGUUAAAAGCUCUGCGGUACAGUUUACACUCCGCGGUACAGUUAAAAAGCUCCGCGGUACAGUUUAAAAGCUCCGCGGUACAGUUAAAAAGCUCCGUGGUACAGUUUAAAAGCUCAGCGGUACAGUUUAAUAGCUCCGCGGUACAGUUAAAAGCUUUGCGAUACAGUUAAAAAGCUCCGCGGUACAGUUAAAAAGGUCCGCGGUACAGGUUAAAAGCUCCGAGGUACAGUUUAAAAGCUCCGCGGUACAGUUUUAACUCCGUAGUACAGUUAAAACGCUCCGCAGUACAGUUUAAAAGCUCUGCGGUAUAGUAAAAUGCUCUGUGGUAGUUAAAAAGCACUGCGGUACAGUUAAAAAGCUCCACGGUACAGUUAUAAAGCUUUACGGUACAGUUAUAAAGCUUUGCGGUACAGUUUAAAAGCUCCGCGGUACAGUUUUAAAGCUCCGCCGUACAGUUUUAAAGCUCCGCCGUAAAGUUUAAACUCCGCAGAACAGUUAAAAUGCUCAUCGGUACAGUUUAAAAGCUCCGCGGUACAGUUUAAAAGCUCCACUGUACAGCUUAAGCUCUGCGGUACAGUUUCAAAAGCUCUGCGGUAAAGUUUAAACUCCGCGGUACAGUUAUAAAGCGCUGCGGUACAGUUUAAAAGCUCCGUGGUAAAGUUUAAACUCCGUAGAACAGUUAAAAUGCUCAGCGGUACAGUUUAAAAGCUCUGUGGUACAGUUUAAGGUCUGCGGUACAGUUUCAAAAGCUCUGCGGUACAUGUUAAAAGCUCUGCGGUACAGUUUACACUCCGCGGUACAGUUAAAAAGCUCCGCGGUACAGUUUAAAAGCUCCGCGGUACAGUUAAAAAGCUCCGCAGUACAGUUUAAAAGCUCAGCGGUACAGUUUAAAAGCUCCGCAGUACAGUUAAAAAGCUCCGCAGUACAGUUUAAAAGCCCUGCGGUAUAGUAAAAUGCUCCGUGGUAGUUAAAAAGCACUGCGGUACAGUUAAAAAGCUCCGCGGUACAGUUUCAAAAGCUCCGUGGUACAGUUUAAAAGCUCCGCGGUACAGUUUAAAAGCUCCUCGGUACAGUUAAAAAGCUUUGCGGUACAAUUAAAAAGCUCCGCGGUACAGGUUAAAAGCUUUGCGGUACAGUUUAGAAGCUCCACUGUACAGUUUAAGCUCUGCGGUACAGUUUCAAAAGCUCUGCGGUACAGUUUAAACUCCGCGGUGCAGUUAAAAAGAUUUGCGGUACAGUUAAAAAGCUCAGCGAUACAGUUUAAAAGCUCAGCGGUACAGUGUAAAAGCUCCGCGGUACAGUUAAAAAGCUCCGCGGUACAGUUAAAAAGCUCCACGGUACAGUUAAAAAGCUCCACGGUACAGUUUCAAAAGCUCCGCGGUACAGUUUCAAAAGCUCCGCGGUACAGUUUAAAAGCUCCAAGGUACAGUUUAAAAGCUCCGCGAUACAGUUCAAAAGCUUUGCGGUAUAAUUAAAAAGCUCCGCGGUACAGUUAAAAAGGUCUGCGGUACAGGUUAAAAGCUCCGAGGUACAGUUUAAAAGCUCCGCGGUACAGGUUAAAAGCUUUACGGUAAAGUUAAAAUGCUCCGCGGUACAGUUAAAAAGUUCCACGGUACAGUUUAAAUGCUCCACUGUACAGUUUAAGCUCCGCGGUACAGUUAAAAAGCUCCGCGUUACAGUUAAAAUGCUCAGCGGUACAGUUUAAAAGCUCUGCUAUACAGUUUCAAAAGCUCCGCGGUACAGUUUAAAAGCUCCGCGGUACAGUUUAAAAGCUCCGCGGUACAGUUAAGAAGCUCUGUGUUACAGUUAAAAAGCUCUGCGGUACAGUUAAAAAACUCCGCGGUACAGGUUAAAAGCUCUGAGGUACAGUUUAAACUCCGCGGUACAGUUAAGAAUCUCCGCGGUACAGUUUAAAAGCUCCACGGUACAGUUUAAAAGCUCCGCGGUACAGUUUAAGCUCCGCGGUACAGUUUAAAAGCUCUUCGGUACAGUUUAAACUCUGCGGUACAGUUAAAAAGCUCUGCGGUACAGUUUAAAAGCUCUGCGGUACAGUUUAAAAGCUCUGCGGUACAGUUAAAAAGCUCUGCGGUACAGUUCAAAAGGUCCGCGGUACAGUUUAAAAGUUCAGCGGUACAAUUAAAAUGCUCCGCGGUACAGUUAAAAAGCUCCGCGGUACAGUUUAAACUCCGCGGUACAGUUAAAAUGCCCAGCGGUACAGUUUAAAAGCUCCGCUGUACAGUUUCAAAAGCUCCACGGUACAGUUUAAAAGCUCCGCUGUACAGUUUCUAAAGCUCCGCGGUACAGGUUAAAAGCUCUGAGGUACAGUUUAAACUCCGUGGUACAGUUUAAAAGCUCAGCGGUACAGUUUAAAAGCUCAGCGGUACAGUUUAAAAGUUCAGCGGUACAGUUAAAAAGGUCCGCGGUACCAGUUAAAAGCUUUGCGGUACAGUUUAAGCUCCGCUGUACAGUUUAAAAGCUCAGCGGUACAGUUAAAAUGCUCCGUAUGUGUUUAUUUAUAUAUACAUAUAUAACAAAAAGGAAUAUAUAUAUUACCAGGGUAAGAAACAA